rnacentral:rRNA from 1 species
CACGGGUGGCUGCAGUGGGGAAUAUUGGACAAUGGGCAAAAGCCUGAUCCAGCCAUGCCGCGUGUGUGAAGAAGGCCUUCGGGUUGUAAAGCACUUUCAGUGGGGAAGAAAGCCUUGGGGCUAAUACCCUCGAGGAAGGACAUCACCCACAGAAGAAGCACCGGCUAACUCCGUGCCAGCAGCCGCGGUAAUACGGAGGGUGCGAGCGUUAAUCGGAAUUACUGGGCGUAAAGCGCGCGUAGGCGGUCUGAUAAGCCGGUUGUGAAAGCCCCGGGCUCAACCUGGGAACGGCAUCCGGAACUGUCAGGCUAGAGUGCAGGAGAGGAAGGUAGAAUUCCCGGUGUAGCGGUGAAAUGCGUAGAGAUCGGGAGGAAUACCAGUGGCGAAGGCGGCCUUCUGGACUGACACUGACGCUGAGGUGCGAAAGCGUGGGUAGCAAACAGGAUUAGAUACCCUUGUAGUC